rnacentral:lncRNA from 1 species
AUUUUUUUUAUUAAAUAAGCAGAUUUUUAGAUACUCCAAUGAUGGGAUUAUCUGAAUAAAACUGAUUGAACCUGAGGCUGAGGAGCUUGGAACAUUGAAUCAUGACUUGUGUAAAUCUAUAUAAAUCAUUUUCUGUGCCAGAGAAUGAAUAGCCAACUUCAUUCAAAUGCCAAUUCAGCACUUACAAAGUCUGCUAACAGUUAAUUAGAAACUACCAUCUCAUUAUAUUCUGAGGUCACAAUGACUGCAAAAGACGACAAAAUUUUCAUUAGCAUGUUGGAUAUUAAAGAUCUGAAAGACAAUGAAUUGACUGAACAGCUUAAGAAGCACGGAUAUAGUCCGGGUCCUAUACUACCUUCCACAAGACGAGCUUAUGAGAAGAAACUACUAGAAUUGUUGACAGCUAUCUGUCCAACAAAAUGUGAGGAGAAGACAAGUGGAAGGAUAUGUCAGCAGGAAAGUGGAGAAAAAAUCAUUGCUUUGAAAAGAAACAGCGAAAUGUUAUCAAGAAUAACAGAAGAAAUCCAAAACGAUAAACUUGAAAACCACGAAGAUGAUGAUGAUCAGAUUUGCACCCCUUUACCUCUCCAGUGCCAACAGAUGACUCAUGAGGAAACUCCACCUUAUUCUAUGGAUGACGAUAUUGACAUCUAUUGUCCUACUGCCAGCCCUCACCCAGGAAUAAGGAUUAUCAUAAGAAGACCAUUAAAAAAAAAAGUAAGGAGUCUCCGAAAAAAGAAAAUGUUCAAAGAAGAGAAAUCUGUAGAAGAUAAAGUAGGAAUGAUUCCAUACGCCUUUGUAAUUACUGUGUUGAUCAUUUUCACCUUUAUAGUUUUCCUCUAUUUAACCAUGGAAAAGAAGUAA